UACGUAGGGGGCUAGCGUUGUCCGGAAUCAUUGGGCGUAAAGCGCGUGUAGGCGGUCCGGUAAGUCCGCUGUGAAAGUCGGGGGCUCAACCCUCGAAUGCCGGUGGAUACUGUCGGGCUAGAGUGCGGAAGAGGCGAGUGGAAUUCCCGGUGUAGUGGUGAAAUGCGUAGAGAUCGGGAGGAACACCAGAGGCGAAAGCGGCAUCCUGGGCCGGGCCUGACGCUGAGGCGUGAAAGCGUGGGGAGCGA
rnacentral:rRNA from 1 species